GCAUAUACAUAAAUCAUGCAUUUUAUAUAAACAUAAUUUUCAACGUAUAGCAUAAAUAAAUUCAUAAAUUAUAUCAACUUCAUAUAUAAAGUUAUAAAUUAUUUAUUAUUUUUUUCAUAUCAUGAUUCUUAAUAAUUCUCUCAGACUAAAUGCUAAGGUCGCUAUUAUACCCAUGAUAGGGCCAUAAUCAUAUACCAACUACUAUUACCCAUUGGUAGGAUUAUAUACCAACUACUAUUAUCUGUUGACAGGAUCAUUUGCUAAUUACUAUUAUCUACGGAC
rnacentral:lncRNA from 1 species